rnacentral:lncRNA from 11 species
GAUUUUUUUUCUUCGCCUUGGGCAGUAGAAACUAAGAUAUCUCCAUUGGCUGCAGCCAGUGUGCAUCAUAUAAAAAGUACUGUAGCUAACUCUACAGGCAGAACUAUUCUUUAUGUCUUCUUGUGUGUGCACACACACAUAUAUACAUACUAGGAAAAAACUAAAGACCUGGGUCUGGGAACAAGCGUUCAGGCCUGUAGACCAGGAUGCUUUGUAUCUA